GGUUAAGCGACUAAGCGUACACGGUGGAUGCCCUGGCAGUCAGAGGCGAUGAAGGACGUGCUAAUCUGCGAUAAGCGUCGGUAAGGUGAUAUGAACCGUUAUAACCGGCGAUUUCCGAAUGGGGAAACCCAGUGUGUUUCGACACACUAUCAUUAACUGAAUCCAUAGGUUAAUGAGGCGAACCGGGGGAACUGAAACAUCUAAGUACCCCGAGGAAAAGAAAUCAACCGAGAUUCCCCCAGUAGCGGCGAGCGAACGGGGAGCAGCCCAGAGCCUGAAUCAGUAUGUGUGUUAGUGGAAGCGUCUGGAAAGGCGCGCGAUACAGGGUGACAGCCCCGUACACAAAAAUGCACAUAUUGUGAGCUCGAUGAGUAGGGCGGGACACGUGGUAUCCUGUCUGAAUAUGGGGGGACCAUCCUCCAAGGCUAAAUACUCCUGACUGACCGAUAGUGAACCAGUACCGUGAGGGAAAGGCGAAAAGAACCCCGGCGAGGGGAGUGAAAAAGAACCUGAAACCGUGUACGUACAAGCAGUGGGAGCACGCUUAGGCGUGUGACUGCGUACCUUUUGUAUAAUGGGUCAGCGACUUAUAUUCUGUAGCAAGGUUAACCGAAUAGGGGAGCCGAAGGGAAACCGAGUCUUAACUGGGCGUUAAGUUGCAGGGUAUAGACCCGAAACCCGGUGAUCUAGCCAUGGGCAGGUUGAAGGUUGGGUAACACUAACUGGAGGACCGAACCGACUAAUGUUGAAAAAUUAGCGGAUGACUUGUGGCUGGGGGUGAAAGGCCAAUCAAACCGGGAGAUAGCUGGUUCUCCCCGAAAGCUAUUUAGGUAGCGCCUCGUGAAUUCAUCUCCGGGGGUAGAGCACUGUUUCGGCAAGGGGGUCAUCCCGACUUACCAACCCGAUGCAAACUGCGAAUACCGGAGAAUGUUAUCACGGGAGACACACGGCGGGUGCUAACGUCCGUCGUGAAGAGGGAAACAACCCAGACCGCCAGCUAAGGUCCCAAAGUCAUGGUUAAGUGGGAAACGAUGUGGGAAGGCCCAGACAGCCAGGAUGUUGGCUUAGAAGCAGCCAUCAUUUAAAGAAAGCGUAAUAGCUCACUGGUCGAGUCGGCCUGCGCGGAAGAUGUAACGGGGCUAAACCAUGCACCGAAGCUGCGGCAGCGACACUAUGUGUUGUUGGGUAGGGGAGCGUUCUGUAAGCCUGUGAAGGUGUGCUGUGAGGCAUGCUGGAGGUAUCAGAAGUGCGAAUGCUGACAUAAGUAACGAUAAAGCGGGUGAAAAGCCCGCUCGCCGGAAGACCAAGGGUUCCUGUCCAACGUUAAUCGGGGCAGGGUGAGUCGACCCCUAAGGCGAGGCCGAAAGGCGUAGUCGAUGGGAAACAGGUUAAUAUUCCUGUACUUGGUGUUACUGCGAAGGGGGGACGGAGAAGGCUAUGUUGGCCGGGCGACGGUUGUCCCGGUUUAAGCGUGUAGGCUGGUUUUCCAGGCAAAUCCGGAAAAUCAAGGCUGAGGCGUGAUGACGAGGCACUACGGUGCUGAAGCAACAAAUGCCCUGCUUCCAGGAAAAGCCUCUAAGCAUCAGGUAACAUCAAAUCGUACCCCAAACCGACACAGGUGGUCAGGUAGAGAAUACCAAGGCGCUUGAGAGAACUCGGGUGAAGGAACUAGGCAAAAUGGUGCCGUAACUUCGGGAGAAGGCACGCUGAUAUGUAGGUGAAGUCCCUCGCGGAUGGAGCUGAAAUCAGUCGAAGAUACCAGCUGGCUGCAACUGUUUAUUAAAAACACAGCACUGUGCAAACACGAAAGUGGACGUAUACGGUGUGACGCCUGCCCGGUGCCGGAAGGUUAAUUGAUGGGGUUAGCCGCAAGGCGAAGCUCUUGAUCGAAGCCCCGGUAAACGGCGGCCGUAACUAUAACGGUCCUAAGGUAGCGAAAUUCCUUGUCGGGUAAGUUCCGACCUGCACGAAUGGCGUAAUGAUGGCCAGGCUGUCUCCACCCGAGACUCAGUGAAAUUGAACUCGCUGUGAAGAUGCAGUGUACCCGCGGCAAGACGGAAAGACCCCGUGAACCUUUACUAUAGCUUGACACUGAACAUUGAGCCUUGAUGUGUAGGAUAGGUGGGAGGCUUUGAAGUGUGGACGCCAGUCUGCAUGGAGCCGACCUUGAAAUACCACCCUUUAAUGUUUGAUGUUCUAACGUUGACCCGUAAUCCGGGUUGCGGACAGUGUCUGGUGGGUAGUUUGACUGGGGCGGUCUCCUCCUAAAGAGUAACGGAGGAGCACGAAGGUUGGCUAAUCCUGGUCGGACAUCAGGAGGUUAGUGCAAUGGCAUAAGCCAGCUUGACUGCGAGCGUGACGGCGCGAGCAGGUGCGAAAGCAGGUCAUAGUGAUCCGGUGGUUCUGAAUGGAAGGGCCAUCGCUCAACGGAUAAAAGGUACUCCGGGGAUAACAGGCUGAUACCGCCCAAGAGUUCAUAUCGACGGCGGUGUUUGGCACCUCGAUGUCGGCUCAUCACAUCCUGGGGCUGAAGUAGGUCCCAAGGGUAUGGCUGUUCGCCAUUUAAAGUGGUACGCGAGCUGGGUUUAGAACGUCGUGAGACAGUUCGGUCCCUAUCUGCCGUGGGCGCUGGAGAACUGAGGGGGGCUGCUCCUAGUACGAGAGGACCGGAGUGGACGCAUCACUGGUGUUCGGGUUGUCAUGCCAAUGGCACUGCCCGGUAGCUAAAUGCGGAAGAGAUAAGUGCUGAAAGCAUCUAAGCACGAAACUUGCCCCGAGAUGAGUUCUCCCUGACUCCUUGAGAGUCCUGAAGGAACGUUGAAGACGACGACGUUGAUAGGCCGGGUGUGUAAGCGCAGCGAUGCGUUGAGCUAACCGGUACUAAUGAACCGUGAGGCUUAACCUU
rnacentral:rRNA from 2 species